rnacentral:rRNA from 1 species
GAUGAACGCUGGCGGCGUGCCUAAUACAUGCAAGUCGAGCGAACAGACGAGGAGCUUGCUCCUCUGACGUUAGCGGCGGACGGGUGAGUAACACGUGGAUAACCUACCUAUAAGACUGGGAUAACUUCGGGAAACCGGAGCUAAUACCGGAUAAUAUAUUGAACCGCAUGGUUCAAUAGUGAAAGACGGUUUUGCUGUCACUUAUAGAUUGAUCCGCGCCGCAUUAGCUAGUUGGUAAGGUAACGGCUUACCAAGGCAACGAUGCGUAGCCGACCUGAGAGGGUGAUCGGCCAAAAUGGAACUGAGACAAGGUCCAGACUCCUACGGGAGGCAGCAGUAGGGAAUCUUCCGCAAUGGGCGAAAGCCUGACGGAGCAACGCCGCGUGAGUGAUGAAGGUCUUCGGAUCGUAAAACUCUGUUAUUAGGGAAGAACAAAUGUGUAAGUAACUAUGCACGUCUUGACGGUACCUAAUCAGAAAGCCACGGCUAACUACGUG